GAUAAAUAAAAUAAAACAUUACAAAAAAUACUGUAGAGAAAUAUUUAUCACAUAUUUAGCUAUUAUUAGCUGAAGUCCAAAAUAGUUUCUAAUAUAGGAAAAAACUGUAUAUUGUUAAGUCCUGGGAUUCACCAAUAAUUGGCCAUCGGUCACCUCUGUUGCUCACUCAGCUCUUUAACUCGUGCAUCAUUUUCUCCAAAAGCACUGUAGCAGUAUGUAUUGCAAGGAUCCUAAUCUGAAAGUGGGUGAAACCGGUUUGGCUUUCAAAGAAGUCAUCAUCGAAUUUGAAAUAUUUAAAGUGGAUACAAAACUGUUUCAGCAAUGCAGACAAUUAAGUGUGUUGUUGUGGGCGAUGGUGCCGUUGGUAAAACAUGUCUUCUGAUAUCCUACACAACAAACAAAUUUCCAUCUGAGUAUGUACCGAC